GACGAACGCUGGCGGCGUGCUUAACACAUGCAAGUCGAACGGAAAGGCCCUGCUUUUGUGGGGUGCUCGAGUGGCGAACGGGUGAGUAACACGUGAGUAACCUGCCCUUGACUUUGGGAUAACUUCAGGAAACUGGGGCUAAUACCGGAUAGGAGCUCCUGCUGCAUGGUGGGGGUUGGAAAGUUUCGGCGGGUGGGGAUGGACUCGCGGCUUAUCAGCUUGUUGGUGGGGUAGUGGCUUACCAAGGCUUUGACGGGUAGCCGGCCUGAGAGGGUGACCGGCCACAUUGGGACUGAGAGACGGCACAGACUCGUACGGUAGGCAGCAGUGGGGAAUAUUGCACAAUGGGCGGAAGCCUGAUGCAGCAACGCCGCGUGCGGGAUGUCGGCUUUCGGGUUGUAAACCGCUUUCGCCUGUGACGAAGCGUGAGUGACGGUAAUGGGUAAAGAAGCACCGGCUAACUACGUG
rnacentral:rRNA from 1 species